rnacentral:lncRNA from 1 species
UGGUAUUUGACUGAAUUCUUGUUCACACACUCACAACCCUGCUAUACUGACAUUCGUGCCCGCUCACGUAAACGUUCACACGUUCAGGUGAAAAGCAUACAUAUGUGGAAGAAAAACCAAGAAGAUAAACAAACAAGGAGCUUAGACAAAGCUGUUGUGGUUUAUGCAAUUAUUCAGAACUAGGACAAAAAUCAGUUGAACACUAAAAGGAAAUGGAACGUCAAGAAAACAUAACGAGGAGCCGGUUUCUGUUUGCCUUAGUGGAUUUCGUAGGAGAGUGUUUUGAGCAUGUGUAGCUGACAAUGUUCUCAAAGUGCUUCCAUGCGGUCUCAAUGUGAAUGGAACUGAAAAUGAAGGACCAGUCGAUGAAGAACAGACCCUUUCUGAUUGCUCACCAAUCCGCUUUGUGGAAGUUUAUGUUGUAAAAUAAGUGCAGUGGACUGGGAUUGGCUGGUUUGGUUUUGAUAUGUCGGAAAUUAAAAUAGCAGAGUAUCAUGUCGUGGUCUGAACUCCAAGCCUCUGCUGCAGACACUGCUUUGUGACGUCUUUCCCCUUGCAACAUCGAGACACUUUCGCCGGUUCUCUUCGAAGGCAGCUGAUGCGGCAGCGGCUUCGCGUUCGUGUAGACUAAUGUCGCUCCAUUUGAGGCUCCUUUUCAGAGUGUCUUUGUAUUUCAGUUUAAACCUUCCUUGUUUGUGUGAGCCUUGCGUGUCUAGGAACACGGCUGUCAGUCAUUCUGAUUAUAUGGCAAGUCCAGCGUUACUAAGCCAUCAGUAACAUUGACUCAAUGCUCGUUGAACUAGCUUUGUUCAGCAUUUCUUAGUUUGUCAUUCACACACACACACACACACACACACACACACACCUAUGUAAAAUCAGGGUUAUCUGUUGUGUACAUAACUAAAGGGAUCACGUUAAUUAGUGAAAAGAAAUGCGGUAACAAUAUUUCUUAUAUUACAGUGCAUGUCAUUUACUGUACUGAUAAUGUGUCGUUUCAUUAUCUAACAGAUUUUAUGACCUUGAAGUGCAAAAUAAAACACAUUCACACCCCCACGUGCGCACACCCGCAUGAACGCACAUCCACACAAGCUCUCACACGCACGCUCACAUACUUAUUGUAAAAAUCAAUUUUGUGACUAGGCGAGAACUAUUCCAGCGACAAGAAACUUGGUAUAAACUGCAACCAAUACAUCUGGGUAAUUAGCUAAUAUGCUGUUCUACCUCCCUUAGAAUACACAGAGAUAAAGAAACGAACACGAACACACACAU